UUGAAACUAUCUUUGGUGACCAAAAAUCACCAAAAAUACACAACUAAGACCUCAAACUCUAUAUAAACCCUAGCAGCCGUUCUUUAAAAUUCAUCAAACUCAAAUCUUGCAAAACCUUAUAGAACUUGCAUUUCAAUUCAACUUCGCUAAUAAUUUUCCCAUAAUGGCUUUCUCCUCCUCCAAAUUCUUGACCACAUUUGCAUUGUUUGUAAUUGCUUUGUCAUUCUCAAACUUCGACACCGGCUUAGCGGCUCGUCACCUAAUGCAAUUGCCGACAUUGCCUCCUCUGCCGAGCCUGCCAAGACCAUCACUACCGUCACCACUGCCACUACCUUCGAUCCCAAAUUUACCACGGGCCCACACAGCCAUCUUUGCCUAGGCCGGGAGUGAUGCCUCCGUUGCCUAGCAUCCCUAGUAUGCCCAAGGUGACAUUGCCUCCACUACCAAACACUAUUCCUUCUUUCCCAUUCCUUUCUCCACCUCCGGCACCCACUACUAACUGAGUAAUUUUCUCAUCUUACUUUCUCUACUUCUCCAGUGGAUUCAGGAGCUUGUUAUUGGUUUCUUGGUGUUCUUAGGGAGUGAUAUACAUAUAUAUAUCAUAUGUAUUAGCUUUUUGGUUGCUUAUUGUUUUCAUUGAAUUUAUAUGUAUGUGAGCAAUGUCGUCGUUCCACCUUUUUGUUUUUUUCCUUGUAUUGUUAUUUUUUUUUUGCCUGAAUCAGAGUGUCUUGAUUUCGGGUAUCAUUUGAGUUACUGUGAUAAUAAAUACAAAUUUUUUAUUUAUACUUCUCUUUUUUAUUGUAAACUUUAAACUUAUAUAGUCUUUAAAAACCAC
rnacentral:lncRNA from 1 species